AGGUUUGUAGUAAUAGAUCAAAAUGUAAAAUUGUAUAUGGUGAUACGAAUAAUAAAGGCAUCAAGUUGUCAUAAUAGACUGAUGUCUAUUAACACUCAGAAGAUGGUGUGUGGUGAUCAAUAUAUGGUUUUGUUGAAAGAUAGUAUUAUUUCAUUAUUAUGUUACAUAUACUGUUAUUGUCAUCAUCACUUUGCCCUUGAGCUUGUGAUGCUUGAAGGAAGGUUUUGCUGAAGGUCUGCUAACUGCGUAAUUUUGAAAUAGCAAGGCUGUGAUGUAUAGGAACUGCUGUUUCCCACAAAAGAAGUGGGUCUGGGCUAUUUCUUUUCACUUAAGACUGUCAUUCCUUCUCAUCCCCCCAUUUUGGGGAGGGAUAGCAUUUGUGGGGUCCAAGGAAUUUCAUGAAUAGUGUGCUAGCCCAUUCUAAGGAAUAGGUGACCAGCUGAAGGGACCUAAUCUGAAUUGGAGUUUCCAGAAAGUAUCCUGUGCAGGGCAGUGUGAACUGAAGCCUCUGGCUGGAGAGAAAGCCAAGAAUUCACAAAGAGCUGCACUAGAGAUAAUGUCACUGCAGCUGUUGUGCAGGAUCUGUUCCUCAGAGUUCUGUGCAAAUUGAUUUAAAAGGCCUAGUUGUAGGAUGUGGAUUGUAGGAUGAUGCUGAGCUGGCAGUGCUCUUGCUCUGAAAAAGGCAGAUGGGAUGCCGAUGCAUCAGGUAUUACAAAUGCAGAUAAAAAAGUAUUGGUGUCACUGCAAACACUGCUACUCUGAAACAGAGUAAGAGAUGUGAUUCAAAUCUUCUGUAUUGAAAAACAUUAAUUGAAACUGUACUGGAAGCAGAGACAUGUUGCCUCUAAAAUGGCAGAAGAGUAUGACCGGAUGUUUGUCUCAAGUAGCUGUGGAAUGGAUGAUGUGAUUCUAAUUUCUAGGGAAAAAAAUUGAUGAAAAAAAUUAGAUAAGCCUAAAUAAAAUAUUGGCUUAAGAUAAAAUGUACACAGGUCAUUGAUAAAAUUUGGUUUAGAGUCUAAAAGGUGUUCCUGAGUGUUACAGCCAGUAGAUUCUGGGAUAAAAGGAGUGUUCAGUGGAGGAAGGAAUCAGACUGGAUUUGGUAGCUUUGCGAUAGGUCUGUGGUGGAGAUUCGGGGCUGUUGGACCCCAAGGAGCUUUCGGAGUGUAUUUUUAAGCAGUUAGUGCCCUCUAGUGAGAGUCUUAGGUAAUAAUCUUGGUCCUGGUUUUGUAGUAUGUUAACAACUCUUAACAGUACUUUGGUGUGUUACCGAAAUGAAAGUAGCUUUGGUAUUAAAAAUGCAGGAGGAUGAGUGUAUGAAGAAAGAUCCUAUGAAUACAAGUCAUGAAGUGGUUUGUAUUGGGAGGGAUCUUUAAAGGUUUAUUAUAAGUGUAACCACCUUCUCAUGUGGAUUGUGUCCUAAAAUCUUAGGUACUUCUUUAGACGAUCACUCAAGUUUUUGCAGUUCAGUGUAAAGCAGAAGAUGUCAGCAAACUUGUGAUUUCAGUCUUGACAACUGAAGAAGCACUGCAUUACAUACCUGUGGAACCAAGUGGCAGGAUUAGAAGUACCAAACUCGUGGCAAAGGAGAUGUUUCUGUUUUGAAAUAAGCACAUCAUCUAAAAGCAUAAAUCAAGAUAAAAAUCGCUGCUUUCUUAGAAGUCAAAAAGUUACAGCUACUAUUUUUUAAAUAUUUUUUUUCUAAAGGUUACAAAACCCCACUGGAAAAAAAUCCUGGAGAUGAUAAAACAGAUGAAGAGAUGGAGGGGACACAUUCAGAGGAUGAAAUGUUUGCUCAGAGAGGCCUUCGCAGAACUCAGAGUAUGAAGUCUGUGAAAACUAUUAAAGGCCGUAAAGAAGCAAGUAUAA